AGAGGAGCAGGUGAGAAGAAGUGGUGGCAAGGAGGACACGGUAAAAGUCCGAGAUUUAGCGUGUCCGGAGCACGAAAGGUGGAUGGUAGGAACGAGUGAACGAGUUUCAGAGGUAGAGGACGAUAACAAAUAACUCUAAGAAGCGAUUAUUUCGAUUGUAUGAUUGAAAGACACAAGGUUCGAGGACGCAAAGUAGUAUGUGUGUAUAUGUGUGUCUCCGUGUGUGUGUGUGUGUGUAUAUCGAUCGUCCGUCGGUGUCGAUCGCAUCUUGCAACGAGUCAGGGUGGGUUACGCGGAUAAUAAUUAACGACUCUCUCAUCUAUACGCGAGCGAUAUCGAACUACACUUUUCUCAUCUUUUCGUGUCACGAUUUAUAAAAAUA